rnacentral:rRNA from 1 species
CAACCUGAGAGUUUGAUCCUGGCUCAGAGCGAACGCUGGCGGCAGGCCUAAUACAUGCAAGUCGAGCGGGUCCUUCGGGAUUAGCGGCGGACGGGUGAGUAACGCGUGGGAACGUGCCCUUUGGUACGGAACAACUGAGGGAAACUUCAGCUAAUACCGUAUGUGCCCUUCGGGGGAAAGAUUUAUCGCCAUUGGAGCGGCCCGCGUUGGAUUAGGUAGUUGG